UAAAAAAAAUCUUCUAUUCUUGAUGAAAUUAGAUUCAUGUCCACUAAGUCUAUUUAUCUAUUUUCAGAAGUAGGAGGUUCCAAAUAAGGUGUAAAGUAUGUAUGAUCCUGAAAUUGUGGAAAUCUUUUUUUACUUGAAAUUCUAAAUAAAAAAGUUGCUUGAGAUUUCCUUGAUUAUUAAAUUUUAUUAGUAUCAGCAUUGUUCUCCCGAAUGAAAAUGGGUUUGUUGGAGUAUUUGGUGAGCCUUAGAACUUUAGCUUUUAGAUGUUUAAACAAUGUUGGAAUGGCUUGAGAGUUGGAAUUCCUUAUUUCUUCUAAAUGUUAGGAGCACAGUCGAGAAUCAUAUUAUGUUUCCCAAAGAUUUCAUUUUAUUUUUAAGACCCAUUGCCUUCCAAGGAACUUGUCCCUCGGAUGUAAAAAAAGUGCCAUCCCCUCAGCUCAAGAACGAUUCCUGUAAUCCGCAGCGCACAACAAGAGGGCAUACUUGUGGUAUUUAAACAAAAUAUAUUGCCUUUGUAGAGUUUUUCACCUAAAGUAUAGUAUUAAAUUUUGAAUGUUUUGGGCCGUGACUCAAACACAUGAGAAAGUUAGCUAUUGUCAAAGCGGAUAGCCCGGUGACGUAACUGUACUUAUAAGGCUAUGGUGUAAACAACGAAAUUCAUGAAGCACAGAGAAGAAAAGUGGGGAACUAAAAAUAAUAAUAAUAUUUCAUGGCUAUCAGACUAAUACAGAUGAACGUAAAUGGGUUAUCUUCCAAAAAAAAAAAAAGCGAGAUUGCUUAAAUAUUAUAAUUUACUAAGUUACAGCGAUGUAGUGUGUCUGGUGAAUAUCAGAAUAAGAAGUGAAUGUGAAUUCAAUUUUGUGCUUGAAAAUAGAGAAUAUGGUACUCCAGUGCAGUUACAACUCAAUAUGGAUAUCUUUCAAGGGGUGUUGCUAUAUUGUCCUUGAAAGAUUUGUAUGGUUAAUAUAUAGAUAGAGGAGAUGAUGGUAAUUAGGUCACAAUAAGAUUAAAUAGAACGAGAAAAGGAACAUACAUUAUAAGCGUUCACAUACCGUACCACAUACACAGUUUCUAGCUAAAAACUUGCGAGGUAUGAACUUAAUACCUGGAAAAGAAAAUAUAAUUCUGUCCAGAGAUUUUAAUUUGGCUCAAAAAUAGGGCAGGGAUUAGGGACAUCCCUAUUGGGUUACAAAAAAAAAAGUGGAAACCUAAGUGAACGAAAAAAUGUUAAUAAAAUGAUGGAUAUAGCUGAUACUAAGAAUAACUGGAAGGUAAUAUUUGUUAAACAAAACGCCAAAAACUCAACCAAAAAUUGAAUAGUUCACAUUUAUAUAUCCGAGCCAAUGUUGGGUUUAAAGAUAAAAAUGAAUAGAAUAUCAUCCAACGAACUGUCUGACCAUUUCUUUCUCGAAGCCAUGCAUGGAAAGGAAAGCUCUAUAAAGAACCCUAAUAGAUGGAAAUUAAAUAAGAAACUCGUAGAAGUAGAUAACAUCCCAAGAAAUCCGAAGAAAAGUAUAGAAAUGAUUGAACAGGACUUGGAAGAUAGAAGGAAUAUUAGGAAGGCUUUAAAAAGGUUCUACAAAAGUGCUAAUAAAAAACUUCUAAAAUUUGUCGGGUGCCGGAAAUCUAAUGAGAGAAGGGAAAAAGAUACUCAAAUUUGGUCAUUAUAGCAAGAAGGAAAUGAAACAAGUCUCCAGCAGGAAUUGGAAGAGAUAAUGGAAUAUAAAAUGAAUGAAGCAAGAGUUCGUGCAACAAUUUUAAAUUACAAAAUGAAUUCCAAAUAAUUUAAAUCUUUAUAAAACCUCGAAAAAAAAAAUGGAAGAAAUAAUAUGAACAAGAUACUAGUGAAUGGACAGAAAAUUACAUCUCUGCUAGCUAUUCUGUUUUAUAUACUUUUAAUUCUUAGUACAAUUUCAAUUGUCCAACCUUUUCUAUUCUCUAAUUCAUCUCAAAGAUCAUUAUUGAAAAUAAUUAACGACUUGUCAGUUUUCCUUGACAUUUCCUAACUGAAUAUCUUCCCACGUUGACUUAAAUAAUCCUUCUUCCUUUCAGGAUACACAUCCUCAACGAUGUCUACACACUCUAUAAUUCCAUCCUCGUCUGCAGGUCUACUCCUUGCAACAUUUGACGGGUACUUUUUUGCAUGUUUCCUGCUUCUUCUCUGAUGAUUCUCGGGAACAUAUAAGGUAAUAUAACUUUCAAUAAUCACAUCAUCUCCAGUAGAAAGCCCCACGGUCGCGAUACUUACUAAAUCUCCCCCUCCCUUUUUCACUUAAUUAAGUUUUAUAAUAUAUAUUCAUACAUUGACGUUCUAAUGGGUUCACAAUUUUGAAACAAGAAAAAAAUUAUCUAAUAAUAAAGCAAGUCCACUAAAACUUUAUUCUGAACUUUACUCUAAGCAUUACUUAUGGUUUUCUAUUCGCAACGAUCCCAAUGCAUUUAUCAAAAAGCAAUAAAACACGUACUAUGGCAUAAAAUUAGUCGAAAAAAGAAUAAUACAAUUAAAAGAUAUAAAUGUGUGUGUUGGUAUAUGAAUAUGUGAAUAUGGUAUAUGAAUAUUGUCUAAAUUGAGUUGAGUGUCAAUUUAAAAAAUAUAUUUAUGUUUGUAAGAGCAAAAUAUGAAUGCUCUAACUUAUUAUUUCUCCCUAUUUGAAAGUUCUAAUUUAUCAGGGAGCAAGAAACACUAUAGUUGAUAGUGAUUUCUGUCAACAAAUGUGUCGUCUCUCUGGGCUACCGUAUGUUUUAUGACAUUUUCUCAGGUGUGGUUUUUACGUUCAACGCAAUUUACGAUUUAAAAUCUUUUAUCUUGACUAUUAAAGAGUUUUAUAUGACAUAUAUAAUCUAAACAGAAUCCUUUAUGCUAUAAAAGUAUUAUAUAAAUAAAAAUUAUAACUGCUGCAGAGACAAAGAAGAAACCGGAGUCCACUUUUUUUUUACAUGCAAGUUCACAAUUUACAUAACAAAAUUUGAAAAAAAAUAUUUUUAAAUGCAUUUUAUUUUUGAUUUAAGUGAUAAUGACAUUCUUCUACUUCAAUUCAGAUGGGAGAAAUUAAAUCCCAUUAUAAAUAUCGUUAUUUCAUUAUCUGCUCGUGGCAACAGUCAACAAUGUAAAAAGACUUAUCCGACUGGAGCUCCAAGCAAAAUAUCAGAAAACAAUAAUUGAACACUCGUCCUACUAUUUGCUGGAUUUGAAACGUACGGGGAAUUAACGAAUAUUAUCUUACAAAGUAAUUACUUCCCUCCAGAAAGAUAUGCUCUACUAAAGGACGCUUUGCAAUGAUUUUAACAUCUUCAUUUAAUUUUUUAUAUAUUGAUGUCUAUUUUAAAACUGUCAAACUACCAUAUUUUCUGGUCUAUUUUAGUUUAAUAUAUUUUAAUCUUUAUUCAUGUUAUUCUUUCUCAUCGUUUUCAACUUUUUUUCGGAGUAUAUUUAUUCAGAAAACGGCACAUAUAUUGUAUAUUAAUCAAAAAAUAUUUAAAAAACUUCCAAUACUUCAAAGAUUAGUUUUUAAGAACAAACAGUGAAAAUUUUACCUUUGAUGGAAUCUGGACUGGAAUAAUCAGGUUGAUAUGUAAGUAUAUGAUAACUCCUUCAGUUCCUCUUCUUCAAUCUUAUUCUAUUUAUUGUUCAAGACAGUUAUAAUAUAUAAUAUAGUAGUUCACAAUUCAA
rnacentral:lncRNA from 1 species